UCCAUAUGUUAAAGAAACAGCUUUUAAGUGCCUUUCUGCAGUUUUCCAAGAGCGCAAGAUAGAUU
rfam:Sarcophilus harrisii ctg7180002494817, whole genome shotgun sequence.